rnacentral:lncRNA from 1 species
ACCUAGUAAUGGAGGGUUAAUGGAGGGUUAAUGGCCGGAAGUCUUAACAUAAAAAAAGCUGAUUUGUUAAAGGGAAAGAUACACCAACGAAAAUAGAAAAAUAUUCUGAUUUGAAUUCUUGAGCGAGUGAGACAGACGCAAAACAGUUCGUCAAGAAUGCGUAAGACGGUGUUCUUACGUAAGUGAUUUCAGUAGCCGUUUUAUUUAAAAGGAAGACGUCGACAACAACUUACAAUAAAGAGACUGUGAUUGCAGGACUCGGCUCUAUUUGUAUUUAUUUUAUUUUAGUUUAUGCAUUUCGUUUCAGUAUUUUAUGUUUCUGUAAUGGUUUAACUGUUGAACAAUUUCUUCAACCUGUUAAAACUUGUAUUUUUAGAUUACUGAGUUAACAUAUUUGAAUGAAAUUAUUAUUUGAAAUUUAUUUGUUGCCAAAUCAAUUUUUACCAACAGAAUCCACACAUGCAAACUGAAAUCAACACAUGCAAGGGGAGGUUAGAGGUUUGGAAUACCAUAUUACGGGGAGAUAUGGCCGGCGGCGGAAAUUGCAGGGGUGGCUGGCGAUGGAUCUAGAGAGUGCCUUUGUUGACAACUGGACAGCAAGAAUACAAAAGAGGAAGAGACCCACUGCCAUCGGCCGGCCUACGGAAGAUAGGAAGUUGCUGGAGACGACGACAAAGGCUGUGCCAGAACCGGCCGACGCAAUGGAGGUGCGUUGAGGGAAGGGAACUAAGCGUGGGUUGUACGCACUACGCAGGGGGUUCUAGAGAGAGAGAGUACCUCUUUG